GAUGAAGAACGUAGCGAAAUGCGAUAAGUAAUGUGAAUUGCAGAAUUCAGUGAAUCAUCUAAUCUUUGAACGCACCUUGCGCUCCUUGGUAUUCCAAAGAGCAUGCCUGUUUGAGUAUCAUUAAAUUAUCAACUGUACCAAUUUGGUUGCAGAUUGGAUGUGGGAGAUUUUGCAGGCUUUUGAUUUCUCUUUGAGAAAACGGUCAGCUCUCCUGAAAUAUAUUAGCAGUGCCUUUGUUGGUUCAUUAGGUGUGAUAAUUUAUCUACAUCUUCACAUGGUACCUUCAUUUGUGUAAAGGUCAUAUUGCUUCUAAUUGUCUUUGGACAUAAAAAAAAAAAAACAUAUAAUUGUAUGGAAAACUUGAUCUCAAAUCAGGCAGGACUACCCGCUGAACUUAAGCAUAUCAAUAAGCGGAGGA
rnacentral:misc_RNA from 1 species